UACAGAGGUCUCAAGCGUUGUUCGGAUUCAUUGGGCGUAAAGGGUGCGUAGGUGGCGCCGUAAGUCAGGUGUGAAAUUUCGGAGCUUAACUCCGAAACUGCAUUGAUACUGCGGUGCUUGAGGACUGGAGAGGAGACUGGAAUUUACGGUGUAGCAGUGAAAAUGCGUAGAGAUCGUAAGGAAGACCAGUGGCGAAGGCGGGGGUCUCUGGGGGCCGAUACUGACGC
rnacentral:rRNA from 1 species